rnacentral:tRNA from 1 species
GGGAAAGUAGCUCAGUUGGUAGAGUGCUUGCCUUGCAUGCACAAGGCCCUGGGUUCAAUCCCCAAUGCCUCCA